rnacentral:rRNA from 1 species
UACGUAGGGUGCAAGCGUUGUCCGGAAUUAUUGGGCGUAAAGAGCUCGUAGGCGGUCUGUCGCGUCGGCUGUGAAAACCCGGAGCUCAACUCCGGGCCUGCAGUCGAUACGGGCAGACUGGAGUUCGGCAGGGGAGACUGGAAUUCCUGGUGUAGCGGUGAAAUGCGCAGAUAUCAGGAGGAACACCGGUGGCGAAGGCGGGUCUCUGGGCAGUAACUGACGCUGAGGAGCGAAAGCGUGGGGAGCGAAUAGG